UCAGCAUUUUCACGGAAGCAGUGUCUUUAAACCAAACCCGCCUAUAUCCAUUCUUCCUCCCCCGUAGCCACAAUUGACAAAAAUGUAGCACCUCCACCACCAAACCAGACCCGGCAGCUUCCCAAUCUCAUAAUCUUUUCUCGCAUUUCAUCGGCCCCAAUCAAAGCAGAAUAGUUAUCUUGCGUCCAGGUGGCAGCUGCAGCUCUUCCAUUGAAGGCCUGUUUUGCCCUUUACCAGAAAUUGUCGAUCUCUCCUCUAUUACUGGUUUGGAUUUUUGGUGGCAUUGGUAUAUCACAGGCAUUCAUUUAAAUCUUGAUGUUCCAAAGUAGAUGAGAAUACUUUACUUGGACAGGCUCAACUCAUAUGCAGCCACUUGAGUUGUGUAUGUCGCGCCCUUUGACAGCAAUGGAGAAGAACUCUAGUGUAGAUAGAAUUCCAGAGAUUGGCAUGGACUAAAUCAUAUCAAAGGGAAACUUUUUACAAAUUGCAGAGGCUGGUACAGAGACAUCUCUUUGAUGGCAAAUCUUGGUGAUGAUGGAAUACUGGGUCCAACAACGAACUGUUGAGGAGCAUGGAGGAGAGCACCUGACUAGUGUAAAAUGUAAUUGGAGAGAGGUCUGAUUGGAUCUAAGCGAGGGGGAGGAGAAAUUUGCGAAUGAAAAUCAUGCAGAUCUUUAUACCAUUUUUUCAUGCCAUUUAUUCUUUGGAUCAUGUAGAUCUCCCUCUCACCAUCAUCAAGACCUGAGUUUACUUCUUGGAUUGAUGUGAGUUCUCCAUCUUACUGUAGAUUCUUUUCAUUGUAUUAUAUUUUAGAUUUUAUUGUAUUUUCGCUUAUUGGAUUUUGUAUAUCUACAUAUUUUAAGAUCUGUUGAAUUUUGAUUUUGAUUUA